UGGCUACUCCCUCCGUCCGGAAAUACUUGUCCGAGGAAUGGAUGUAUCUGUAUGUUUUUUAGCUCUAGAUACAUCCAUUUGUAUCCAUUUCUACGACAAGUAUUUCUGGACGGAGGGAGUAGUUC
rfam:Triticum aestivum genome assembly, contig: Triticum_aestivum_CS42_TGACv1_scaffold_031134_1BL